rnacentral:ncRNA from 2 species
UUUGUAGAGAUGUGGAAAUAUGAAGGAAACGAGCGGCAAACACGGUCAGAGGAACACGAACUUCAUAUAGAGCUAGGUACCAUUGGAUGAGUUUGCACAAUCGAAACAAAAUCCAUACUACAGAAGGUGCAGAAAGAUGGAGGGAAAGAGGCUGUACUC